rnacentral:rRNA from 1 species
UACGUAGGGUGCAAGCGUUGUCCGGAAUUAUUGGGCGUAAAGAGCUCGUAGGCGGUCUGUCGCGUCUGCUGUGAAAAACUCGGGGCUUAACCCCGGCCUGCAGUGGGUACGGGCAGACUAGAGUGCGGUAGGGGAGACUGGAAUUCCUGGUGUAGCGGUGAAAUGCGCAGAUAUCAGGAGGAACACCGGUGGCGAAGGCGGGUCUCUGGGCCGUAACUGACGCUGAGGAGCGAAAGCGUGGGAGCGAACAGG